rnacentral:lncRNA from 1 species
CUUAGCAAGAAGCUUGCAGCCUGAACAUUGACACGGAUGAGAACCCCCAGCCAGAAGGUCACACCCUCCUUUGGUACCCAAAGGAGAACAAAGGAUGGGGACAGAGCCAAGUGGCUCGCUUGUAACAAAUGGAUAGAAUAGAAGUGACAGGCAUGGGAUGUCCCUUCCAAGGGGAGAGUUGUUGGGAGGCAACUGAGGGCUCUGGCCCAGCCUUGCC